CCUUCGAUAGCUCAGUUGGUAGAGCGGGGGACUGUAGAUUUAUAAUUGUGAUCCCUAAGUCGCUGGUUCGAAUCCGGCUCGAAGGA
rnacentral:tRNA from 2 species